CUGUACCUGGUUGAGUUUGUAGACGUAGACUUGUCCCUGCUCGUCUCUUUCUGUGCCCAUGUACAUCGGAGCUCCGACCAAGAGGACGUCCGUGUAGGAAUCUCCAUCCACGUCGACAGUCUGCAGGACGCUGCCGAAGAACGCAUGGGCGGAAGAAACACUAAAGCACAUGUGCAGUGGGCCGCACGACGCAGAAGCUCUGGAAGCUACAACGCUUUUUUGGCUUAUGCACCCGACGAGCAAUUUUCAUUCAUGUGACUUGGCACCAUCUUUGAGUCCUGUAUCCAGUUCCUAUUAUACAUCCGUGGAUCUCCACUCACAGGCCAAUAUUUACCUUCCAAAGCAAAAAUCUUCCUUCCCAAAGCAUCCACAAUGGUCAACAACGCCACCUCAUCAGACACGUUGAAGAAGUGGUCGUGUAACGGCUCACUGGAGAUGGACGCAAUCUCC